AGAGUUUGAUCCUGGCUCAGGACGAACGCUGGCGGCGUGCCUAAUACAUGCAAGUAGAACGCUGAAGAGAGGAGCUUGCUCUUCUUGGAUGAGUUGCGAACGGGUGAGUAACGCGUAGGUAACCUGCCUUGUAGCGGGGGAUAACUAUUGGAAACGAUAGCUAAUACCGCAUAACAAUGGAUGACCCAUGUCAUUUAUUUGAAAGGGGCAAAUGCUCCACUACAAGAUGGACCUGCGUUGUAUUAGCUAGUAGGUGAGGUAACGGCUCACCUAGGCGACGAUACAUAGCCGACCUGAGAGGGUGAUCGGCCACACUGGGACUGAGACACGGCCCAGACUCCUACGGGAGGCAGCAGUAGGGAAUCUUCGGCAAUGGGGGCAACCCUGACCGAGCAACGCCGCGUGAGUGAAGAAGGUUUUCGGAUCGUAAAGCUCUGUUGUAAGUCAAGAACGAGUGUGAGAGUGGAAAGUUCACACUGUGACGGUAGCUUACCAGAAAGGGACGGCUAACUACGUGCCAGCAGCCGCGGUAAUACGUAGGUCCCGAGCGUUGUCCGGAUUUAUUGGGCGUAAAGCGAGCGCAGGCGGUUUGAUAAGUCUGAAGUUAAAGGCUGUGGCUCAACCAUAGUUCGCUUUGGAAACUGUCAAACUUGAGUGCAGAAGGGGAGAGUGGAAUUCCAUGUGUAGCGGUGAAAUGCGUAGAUAUAUGGAGGAACACCGGUGGCGAAAGCGGCUCUCUGGUCUGUAACUGACGCUGAGGCUCGAAAGCGUGGGGAGCGAACAGGAUUAGAUACCCUGGUAGUCCACGCUGUAAACGAUGGAUACUAGGUGU
rnacentral:rRNA from 1 species